CCUACGGGAGGCAGCAGUAGGGAAUCUUCCACAAUGGGCGAAAGCCUGAUGGAGCAACGCCGCGUGGGUGAAGAAGGUCUUCGGAUCGUAAAACCCUGUUGUUAGAGAAGCAAGUGCGUGAGAGUAACUGUUCACGUUUCGACGGUAUCUAACCAGAAAGCCACGGCUAACUACGUGCCAGCAGCCGCGGUAAUACUUAGGUGGCAAGCGUUAUCCGGAUUUAUUGGGCGUAAAGGGAGCGCAGGCGGUCUUUUAAGUCUGAUGUGAAGGCCUUCGGCUUAACCGGAGUAGUGCAUUGGAAACGGGGAGACUUGAGUGCAGAAGAGGAGAGUGGAACACCAUGUGUAGCGGUGAAAUGCGUAGAUAUAUGGAAGAACACCAGUGGCGAUAGCGGCUCUCUGGUCUGUAACUGACGCUGAGGUUCGAAAGCGUGGGUAGCAAACAGGAGUAGAUACCCUAGUAGUC
rnacentral:rRNA from 1 species